rnacentral:rRNA from 1 species
GACGAACGCUGGCGGCGUGCUUAACACAUGCAAGUCGAACGGAAAGGCCUCUUUCGGGGGGUACUCGAGUGGCGAACGGGUGAGUAACACGUGAGUAACCUGCCCUUGACUUUGGGAUAACUUCAGGAAACUGGGGCUAAUACCGGAUAGGAGCUCCUGCUGCAUGGUGGGGGUUGGAAAGUUUCGGCGGUUGGGGAUGGACUCGCGGCUUAUCAGCUUGUUGGUGGGGUAGUGGCUUACCAAGGCUUUGACGGGUAGCCGGCCUGAGAGGGUGACCGGCCACAUUGGGACUGAGAUACGGCCCAGACUCCUACGGGAGGAAGCAGUGGGGAAUAUUGCACAAUGGGUGGAAGCCUGAUGCAGCAACGCCGUGUGCGGGAUGACGGCCUUCGGGUUGUAAACCGCUUUCGCUCAUGACGAAGCUUUGUGUGACGGUAGUGGGUAAAGAAGCACCGGCUAACUACGUG